rnacentral:rRNA from 2 species
CUCAGGAUGAACGCUGGCGGCGUGCCUAAUACAUGCAAGUCGAGCGAACAGACGAGGAGCUUGCUCCUCUGACGUUAGCGGCGGACGGGUGAGUAACACGUGGAUAACCUACCUAUAAGACUGGGAUAACUUCGGGAAACCGGAGCUAAUACCGGAUAACAUGUUGAACCGCAUGGUUCAACAGUGAAAGACGGUCUUGCUGUCACUUAUAGAUGGAUCCGCGCCGCAUUAGCUAGUUGGUAAGGUAACGGCUUACCAAGGCAACGAUGCGUAGCCGACCUGAGAGGGUGAUCGGCCACACUGGAACUGAGACACGGUCCAGACUCCUACGGGAGGCAGCAGUAGGGAAUCUUCCGCAAUGGGCGAAAGCCUGACGGAGCAACGCCGCGUGAGUGAAGAAGGUCUUCGGAUCGUAAAACUCUGUUAUUAGGGAAGAACAAAUGUGUAAGUAACUAUGCACGUCUUGACGGUACCUAAUCAGAAAGCCACGGCUAACUACGUGCCAGCAGCCGCGGUAAUACGUAGGUGGCAAGCGUUAUCCGGAAUUAUUGGGCGUAAAGCGCGCGUAGGCGGUUUUUUAAGUCUGAUGUGAAAGCCCACGGCUCAACCGUGGAGGGUCAUUGGAAACUGGAAAACUUGAGUGCAGAAGAGGAAAGUGGAAUUCCAUGUGUAGCGGUGAAAUGCGCAGAGAUAUGGAGGAACACCAGUGGCGAAGGCGACUUUCUGGUCUGUAACUGACGCUGAUGUGCGAAAGCGUGGGGAUCAAACAGGAUUAGAUACCCUGGUAGUCCACGCCGUAAACGAUGAGUGCUAAGUGUUAGGGGGUUUCCGCCCCUUAGUGCUGCAGCUAACGCAUUAAGCACUCCGCCUGUAGACACGAGUUGG